GCCUAAGAUAGUUCAAUUGGUAGAGCAUGAGACUCUUCAUCUCAGAGUCUUGUGUUCGAGCCCCACAUUGGGCA